UUGGGCGUAAAGAGCUCGUAGGCGGUUUGUCACGUCUGCUGUGAAAAUCCAAGGCUCAACCUUGGACUUGCAGUGGGUACGGGCAGGCUAGAGUGCGGUAGGGGAGAUGGGAAUUCCUGGUGUAGCGGUGGAAUGCGCAGAUAUCAGGAGGAACACCAAUGGCGAAGGCACAUCUCUGGGCCGUAACUGACGCUGAGGAGCGAAAGCGUGGGGAGCGAACAGGAUUAGAUACCCUGGUAGUCCACGCCGUAAACGGUGGGUGCUAGCUGUGGGCCACAUUCCACGUGGUCCGUGACGAAGUUAACACAUUAAGCACCCCGCCUGGGGAGUACGGCCGCAAGGCUAAAACUCAAAGGAAUUGACGGGGGCCCGCACAAGCGGCGGAGCAUGCGGAUUAAUUCGAUGCAACGCGAAGAACCUUACCAAGGCUUGACAUAUAGAGGAAAAGUGCAGAAAUGCACUCCCCGCAAGGUCUCUAUACAGGUGGUGCAUGGUUGUCGUCAGCUCGUGUCGUGAGAUGUUGGGUUAAGUCCCGCAACGAGCGCAACCCUCGUCCUAUGUUGCCAGCACGUAAUGGUGGGAACUCAUGGGAUACUGCCGGGGUCAACUCGGAGGAAGGUGGGGAUGACGUCAAAUCAUCAUGCCCCUUAUGUCUUGGGCUUCACGCAUGCUACAAUGGCCGGUACAGAGGGCUGCAAUACCGCAAGGUGGAGCGAAUCCCAAAAAGCCGGUCU
rnacentral:rRNA from 1 species